rnacentral:rRNA from 1 species
UGGGGGAAUAUUGCACAAUGGGGGGAAACCCGUGAUGCAGCGACGCCGCGUGAGCGAAGAAGUAUUUCGGUAUGUAAAGCUCUAUCAGCAGGGAAGAUAAUGACGGUACCUGACUAAGAAGCCCCGGCUAACUACGUGCCAGCAGCC